AGCGCACGGGGUCGGCGGCGAUGUCGG
rnacentral:piRNA from 4 species